AUCAGGUAACAUCAAAUCGUACCCCAAACCGACACAGGUGGUCAGGUAGAGAAUACCAAGGCGCUUGAGAGAACUCGGGUGAAGGAACUAGGCAAAAUGGUGCCGUAACUUCGGGAGAAGGCACGCUGAUAUGUAGGUGAAGUCCCUCGCGGAUGGAGCUGAAAUCAGUCGAAGAUACCAGCUGGCUGCAACUGUUUAUUAAAAACACAGCACUGUGCAAACACGAAAGUGGACGUAUACGGUGUGACGCCUGCCCGGUGCCGGAAGGUUAAUUGAUGGGGUCAGCGCAAGCGAAGCUCUUGAUCGAAGCCCCGGUAAACGGCGGCCGUAACUAUAACGGUCCUAAGGUAGCGAAAUUCCUUGUCGGGUAAGUUCCGACCUGCACGAAUGGCGUAAUGAUGGCCAGGCUGUCUCCACCCGAGACUCAGUGAAAUUGAACUCGCUGUGAAGAUGCAGUGUACCCGCGGCAAGACGGAAAGACCCCGUGAACCUUUACUAUAGCUUGACACUGAACAUUGAGCCUUGAUGUGUAGGAUAGGUGGGAGGCUUUGAAGUGUGGACGCCAGUCUGCAUGGAGCCGACCUUGAAAUACCACCCUUUAAUGUUUGAUGUUCUAACGUGGACCCGUGAUCCGGGUUGCGGACAGUGUCUGGUGGGUAGUUUGACUGGGGCGGUCUCCUCCUAAAGAGUAACGGAGGAGCACGAAGGUUGGCUAAUCCUGGUCGGACAUCAGGAGGUUAGUGCAAUGGCAUAAGCCAGCUUGACUGCGAGCGUGACGGCGCGAGCAGGUGCGAAAGCAGGUCAUAGUGAUCCGGUGGUUCUGAAUGGAAGGGCCAUCGCUCAACGGAUAAAAGGUACUCCGGGGAUAACAGGCUGAUACCGCCCAAGAGUUCAUAUCGACGGCGGUGUUUGGCACCUCGAUGUCGGCUCAUCACAUCCUGGGGCUGAAGUAGGUCCCAAGGGUAUGGCUGUUCGCCAUUUAAAGUGGUACGCGAGCUGGGUUUAGAACGUCGUGAGACAGUUCGGUCCCUAUCUGCCGUGGGCGCUGGAGAACUGAGGGGGGCUGCUCCUAGUACGAGAGGACCGGAGUGGACGCAUCACUGGUGUUCGGGUUGUCAUGCCAAUGGCACUGCCCGGUAGCUAAAUGCGGAAGAGAUAAGUGCUGAAAGCAUCUAAGCACGAAACUUGCCCCGAGAUGAGUUCUCCCUGACCCUUUAAGGGUCCUGAAGGAACGUUGAAGACGACGACGUUGAUAGGCCGGGUGUGUAAGCGCAGCGAUGCGUUGAGCUAACCGGUACUAAUGAACCGUGAGGCUUAACCUUACAACGCCGAAGGUGUUU
rnacentral:rRNA from 1 species